rnacentral:rRNA from 1 species
GAUGAACGCUAGCUACAGGCUUAACACAUGCAAGUCGAGGGGUAACGAGAGGAAAGCUUGCUUUCCUUGUCGACGACCGGCGCGCGGGUGAGUAACGCGUAUCCAACCUGCCCCCAACUAGGGAAUAACCUUGCGAAAGUAAGACUAAUACCCUAUAAUUUCCUCAGAUGUCAUCUGACGAGGAAUAAAGAUUUAUCGGUUGUGGAUGGGGAUGCGUCUGAUUAGCUUGUUGGCGGGGUAACGGCCCACCAAGGCAACGAUCAGUAGGGGUUCUGAGAGGAAGGUCCCCCACCUUGGAACUGAGACACGGUCCAAACUCCUACGGGAGGCAGCAGUGAGGAAUAUUGGUCAAUGGGCGGAAGCCUGAACCAGCCAAGUAGCGUGCAGGAUGACGGCCCUAUGGGUUGUAAACUGCUUUUAUACAGGAAUAAAGUUAGCCACGUGUGGUUAUUUGUAGGUACUGUAUGAAUAAGGACCGGCUAAUUCCGUGCCAGCCGCCGCAGUAA